AUGGAAGACUUGAAGGAGGCAGAUUAUGCUGCACUUGUUGUAAAAGGAGAAGAGCACCUGACUGUUGAAAUUCCAGCAAAGGUACAUGGUUUAUUGGCAGAAUUUCAGAACAUACUUGGAGAGCCACAAGGCCUACCACCGAUGAGAGGAAUUCAACAUAGGAUUGACUUAAUUUCGGGAGCAAGUCUUCCUAAUCUUCCACACUAUCGAAUGAGCCCAAAAGAGCAUGAUAUAUUGAAGGAGAAAGUGGAGGAAUUGCUGCAAAAGGGGCACAUUCGAGAAAGUAUUAGCCCAUGUGCUGUACCAGCCUUGCUCGCGCCAAAGAAAGAUGAGUCUUGGCGCAUGUGUACGGAUAGUAGAGCCAUUAACAAGAUCAGCGUAAGGUAUAGAUUCCCUAUUCCCCGUCUGGAUGAUAUGUUGGAUCAGCUUAGUGGAGCAAGAGUGUUCACAAAGCUGGAUUUAGGAAGUGGAUAUCAUCAAAUCCGUAUCAGACCCGGGGAUGAAUGA
rnacentral:rRNA from 1 species